CUUAAAUACACUCGUUUUGAAAGAAAUUAAAAAGACAAAAAAAAUGGAAAUUUGAUUUGGUUUGGUUUUUAACUACACCGAAGAAAUUGCUUGAAAGAUUUUUUAUUUUCUUACUCAAAUUUGAGCUUGGGUUUUGUUUUUUUGAGGAUUUAUUCCUCUUUGUUACUUAAGUUAUUUUAUGUUUGUCGUAGAAGGAGAUUUAAAAAAAAAAACUCAUUUAAAAGAAAUAGAAAAGUAUAAUUGAUUUGGUUGGGUUAAAGCCAAACCGAAGAAAUUGUCCAUAGUCAUUUUUUUUUUUUUUUUCCUUUUAAAGGAUUUAUCCAGUUGGUUCUUUUUUUUUGUCGUACAAAAAAGAAAAGAGAAAUUUAAAAUUGCUCAAAUUCUCUUCUUUUUUUUUGACGUCAUUUCUCAAAUAUCUAGAAAAGUAAAAUUGGUUUGGUCGAUAUUUUGAUAGUCAAAAUUCGAGCUUGGUAAGUGACUUUUUGAGGAAUUUAUUCCUUUAUUCUUUUAUAUGUUUAUCGUACAAAAGGAGAAGAGAGAAAUGUAAAAUUUCUCGAAUGUUUUAAAUACACUCGUUUUCAAAGAAAUAAAAAAGGCAAGUGAUAUAUCUAUUUGGAAUAUGCAAAAACAUGGUUCGGUUUUAGAAGGACAAACUAUGACGCUUGUCAUAUUCCUUUUUGAUUGGAACAUAAGUAAUUUCACUGCCGACAUAAAGAUGUGGGGGUAAGAGAUUUGGUUGUGUUCGAUUCACAGCUGCUAGGAGACAAGGGAAUCAGUAGCAUAACAACUUAAAACUGGUUAGUCUCGAUAAUGUAAUGCAAUUACAUUGCUUUUUAACAGUCAAUCUCAAAAACAAAGCAUACAUUAAGAAAAAAACAGUGAAAUGCAAGAAAUGUAAAAUUUAUGACGACUAGAAAAUUUGUUAGCUUAUAUUACGUUAUACAAGAUGAAUAACUCGUGUUUAACGUGAUUUCAGCUAACAAACUUUUUUCACUACAACUAAAAAAGUAAAAAACUAAUCUAAACUAACUUGAGUUUCUUAUUCAAGAUGGGCAAAAAUAUCAAAAGUCAAAACCUUAUCUUGCUUAUAAGAUUCCAAAAAUGUUCAAGAAGAUUUUGUAAGUAUGCUUGCAAGUUGUAACUAAAAUUAAGAUACUAAUUUAUAUACAUGUAUCAUGUAUGUAAGAUGAUAAAGAAAAUGACACAUGAUUUAACAAGACAUAGGUUUUGUUAUUAAAAAUCAAUCCAUUGGAGCAUUGUUGUUUGUUGUUUGUUGCCAUGCGUCACUAUGUGCUCACUAAAAGGAGUGUAUCGUACGUGCCCCCAUGCAAAGUGAUUCUUCAUUUGUAGAUAUGCAUGCAGUUUCAAUCAGUGCCGGCUCAGAUGGGUGGGCGGGCGGUGCGACGACCAGUGGUCCAAUCCCGUAGUCCAAUAAUUAAGGGGCCCAUUUUCUAAAAUAUUUUUUUAAAAAUAUUAAAAAAUUAGAUUAUAAAAUAAAAAUAAAAUUUAGAAAGGUCUAUAAAAUUUUUUAUUUAUUGUUUUUAGUAUUAGUAAUUAAUAUUUUUAACAAAAAUAGCAUAGAAAAAAACAUUAAAAAAAAAUUUCUAAGAGUCCAAAAUUUUUUUUUGCCCUAGGGCCCAUAAAAAUGUUGAGCCGGCACUGGUUUCAAUAUAUAAUGGUUGUGACUGAGGAGAGGGAGAAAUCCUACUAAUUAAAGACUAAAUCAACACACAGUGAAAGAGUGGGUACCUUAUAGGUAUUUAUGGAGGUCAAGUUGAUUCAAGUGUCUUAAGAGGCCCACACAAUUGUGGUAAGAGAGAAUUGAGGAAAUGUUGGAAAGAACUAACCCAAGUUCGAUCCACCCUAAAAACAAAAAUCACAUAUGUGUGAGAAGUCUGGGUUAAAGGUUCAAACAGUUUAUCUGGUAGUCAGUAACAGGCGAUCUGGCUACCCCUGAAAUUAGUUGGAAAGCAUUCCAAACUCGGGACAGACAGUGUGGUAGCCCUUCGAGGAGAAGUCCACUCUGAAGCACUUUGGUGCGUUUCUACCGGGGCUGCCCGGAUCAGCCGAUAGGGUUUAUAAAAAAAAAAAUUGCCUUAAGAGAGGAAUGACGUUGACGAAAAGUUUCAAAAACCGGCGAUAUUACUCACAAACUUCGUUUGUCCAACAUAAGAGGUGAUGGUCUUAGUUCAUUAAAUCAAGUAUGAUUGUUCCAGAGAUUUUUUAUUAUUUCACUGAUGUUUUUUUUUUGGUAUGAAGAGGGAGGCUUUGAGGGAGACAAAAUCUCCCCUACUUUAUUAAUUAAAAUGAAAACAACUACAACCGAACAAGUCUAGGGUGUGUAAACCUUGUUAACAUCAUCUAACAAAAAUGAAUGAACAUCUUCUAGAAUCGAAGAAAACGAAUGAAAACAUAUCGGUAAAGAAAAUACAUAGUUAGCCAAUCCAUCCGCCAGACGAUUGAUCUCCCUAUACACAUGCGAAACUCCGACUAUCCAGUUCCUUGAUAGAAAGUCAUAGCACAAUCGUACUAGGAAGGACAACAGGAGAGAAUUAGUAAUCUCUGAUGUCAAGAUACCCACAACUAUUUCAGAAUCUACUUCCAACUCAAAACGAGUCACACGACGUUCCCAUGCAAUAUAUAAUCCUUAAUAAACUGCAUAGUUCCACCAAUGGUGCCGAGCAAAACCCAAUAUUUAGAGAGAAUCCAAAACACCAAUUACCCUCACCAUCUCUCAAGACUCCGCCAGCGGUUGCCAUCCCAGGAUUACCAUGUAAGGCACCUGACAAAUUAAACUCCCGUGGUACUCAAAUGGUGUCAUUCCCUCCUUUACAAACCUGACAAACUCCCAUGGUACUCAAAUGUCUUCUCAGCCUUUCCAUGUUGGUCAUAAUCACUUGAUUCACUACUAGCCAAAGGAACACUCUGACCCUCUCCGGUGCGGUAACUUGCCAUACACAAUCAAAGAUUUUUUGUAAAGUUGGUCGCGGUGAACUGUCUCUUGUUAGAAGUGUAUACGCAGACUUCACUGAAAACCUCCCCUCUUUACUUUUCCCCCAAUAUUUGAUCGAUGUUUACACACUAUCACAACAAGUAUUUCUCUACGGGAUUUCCAAUAAAAUUCUAUUCUUCUUUUAAAAAAAUCUUCAUUUCUACAAUUUAAUUUGAUACUUUUGGAGAUUUGGUGGAGCAUUAGCCAUGUUUACAACUUUUGUGCUACUUUAGAUGUUGCCAAGGUGUAGAUGACUCCAAUACUUCAUUUCACAACAACAAAACCAUACUAAAAAUCCCUAACUAAAUUAGUAAUUUCCCUAAUACAAUUAUGGCCAAAUUACACUACUUUCAAGUAUGAAAUUAUCAAAAUUAGUAAAUUAUGCAACUUUUUGAUUCUGAAUUAACCAUUGUCAGCUCUUCUUAAUUUGGUACUAUCAUUUACAUUUAUUGUUAAACCGGUUUAAGAUCCAAAAGAAAAAAGAUAAAUCUCGUUUGGUGAAAAAAUAACCAGAAAACGAGAUCUGACUUCUAACUUGUACAUGUACAUCGAUGUCCACAAAAUACAAAUCGGAAAAAAAAGCAUCGAUGAAGAAGAAGAUGAUUCCGACGACGCUCUUACUCUCAGCUCUCAUUUUCUCUUUAUCGCCGAUCUGUGAAGCUGUGUGGCUUACCGUACCUCACACCGGAUCAAAGUGUGUCUCCGAAGAAAUCCAAAGCAACGUCGUCGUUUUAGCUGAUUAUCUCGUUAUCUCCGAGGAACAUUCUAUCUUCCCUACUGUCUCCGUUAAGGUAAAUCAUUUUAUCAAUCGAAGAAUUUGCAUUUGAUUUGGAACCUGGAACUCUCAUUAGUUUCUAAAAAUGGUCUUAGAGGCAUUAAAUUGAAUCGAUGCUUAGUUCUAGUUUCCUUAUUUGUUCAUGAUGUGAAUUCAAUUGGUUAGGUUACUUCAAGAUCUUUCAUGUAGUGAAACUAAAUCAAUCGCAAAGUUUCUUCAGUUCUGGAUCUUAAGAGUUUAGGUUUAGUUGAAUGAGAAGAGAAGAUGAGGUUUUUCUAGUAAUGGCCUGUGAGCAUUUUACAUGAAACAUUUUUUGUAUAAUGCAACAAUGUCAAUAGCUUGGUCUGUUGAGGAAGUUUGAUCAAAGAGGAAAAAUGUUUGGAAGAGAAAAAUAUUUGCUUGCAAAGAUGUUAUCUUGUUGACUUUACAAUGGUUAUACCACAUAGUUUGAUAGAUUGUUGUAGAAAGUUUACUCGAAUAUGUUUUACGUUAACAUAUUUCUAGUAGUGACCAUAUGUUUGUGAGCGUUUUACGUCAGCAUAUGUUUGUGAGCGUUUAUGAGCGUUUUACAGUAACAUAUAUCUAGUAGAUACGACCUCGAGUUCUCUAUUUGCUUGCAAAGAUGUAUCUUGUUGAACUUUUUAUGACAAUGGUUAUAUCUCAUCUAAAUCUCAAUCUUCUAUGCUUUAUUGUUAGAUGGUAGAUAUUGAUUGUCCCAACUACUGCAUAGUUUGAUAGAUUGUUGUCGAAAGUUUUUACUCGAAUGUGUUUUACGUUAACAUAUGUCUAGUAGUGACCAUAUGUUUGUCAGCGUUUUAUGUCAGCAUAUUUCUCGACUCAAUAGCUUUGUCUGUUAAGGAAGUGUGAAAAAGAGUAAAUAUGUUUGGAACAGAUGAUUACUUACGACCUCAAGUUCUCUAUUUUCUUGCUAAGAUGCUUGAUAUUGUUCUGUUUACAAGUUCUCUAUUCUCUCAUGCUUUUUUAGUUAGAUGGUAGCCGUUGAUUCUCCCAGCUACCACAUAGCUUUGAUAGAUUGUUGUAGAAAAUUUAAUUACAUGUGUUAUGAAGACGUGCACCAACUUCUCGACGUGGAAAAUGACUAGAAGUUUUUAUGUUUUAUUGCAGGUCACAGCACCUUAUGGUAGCGUUUUACACCACAAGGAAAAUACAACAAACGGUCAGUUUGCAUUUACAACCCAAGAAUCAGGAACUUACUUGGCGUGUUUUGAGGCUGAUGCUAAAAGUCAUGGUAACAGAGAUUUUAGCAUCAACAUCGACUGGAAAACUGGUAUCGCAGCUAAAGAUUGGGACUCCAUUGCUAGAAAAGAGAAGAUCGAGGUCAGCUCUCCAUAUUUCCAAGCCUCUGAGACAAUCAAAUUACUUACAAAACCACAUCUUAGAGUAGGUUAGUCUCUAUCUGACUCCCGAUAAUAUCUUCAAUCGUGUAGGGUGUAGAGCUAGAGCUUAAGAAACUUGAAGGUGCAGUAGAAGCCAUACAUGAAAAUUUAAUUUACCUCAGAAACAGGUAAAAAGCUUAAUUAACUGCUACAUUUUUUGAAGAUAUUGAGAAGAAAUACAAAUACACAUUCUCUUGUUUUCACAAUUGCAGAGAAGCUGAAAUGAGGAUUGUGAGUGAAAAAACAAACUCGAGAGUCGCAUGGUACAGUAUAAUGUCGCUGGGGAUUUGCAUUGUGGUCUCUGGUUUACAGAUUUUGUACUUGAAGCAAUACUUUGAAAAGAAGAAGCUUAUUUAGAUCAAUGAGGAUUGUUGAGGAAUACAAGAACCAACACUUUGCUCUGUUUUCUUUCUCUGAUGCUCUCUUUGGAACUGUUAGUGUAAAAUUUUGUUCACUGAUUUAUCUUGUAAUUUGACUCCUUUUCCAUAGAAUAUAUAAGUAGACUCUAAUUAUAGGAAUCUGAACUAUAUUUCCCUUGAUAAAAUAAAACUGAAUUUAUUUGGCAUAACUUCUGAAGUAAGGGUGGGCAAAAUAAACAGAGGACUCUGUGUGAAACAGAGUUACCAAAAACUUCUGAAGUAAUCAACACAUUGCGUUUUUAUUUGGACUAUACAAAGCCCUUUUCAUUGAAAUUGUUGAAUCUUUGUAUUGGAUUUUCUAUAACACGGCCGGAACGUAUGUCCUCAUUACAAAACAUGUCUGAUGCAUUACGUCGUCGGUGCAUGAUUGAACAUAGACUAGUCUAUGGAGCCUUUUUGCUAUGACUAAGUCCUAACAUUGUACUUAUUGCUUGGAAACUGCUAUAUGUGAAAUUGUGAAUUCAGAUUUUGAUGGAGACUUUCAUUUACUUCGUUGAAAGUACUUGUGCUUUUCAUUGCUAUUUCCUUCUUAGAACUAUAGUAACACAACCAUUUCGUGAGUUAUUACUUCUUCUUUAGGUGAGAGACUUGAAAGAGACGGUAGGGUAUAAGUCUUCUUCUAUGAACCAAUUAAAUUUCUGAGAGGAAAUUUCAGAGAAAUUCUAAGAAUGGUGGAACCUACAAGACAGCUAAGACUGUGAAAACAUAAAAACUUUAUUUCCAAAAAGCUUAAUAUCUCUCUUAUCCAACAAUUGUGUGAACCUUCUGAGUCAAUGGAGUCAAUGUUCUAUGUCAUUACACAUACAAAGUCUAUUUGUUAGUCCUUACUUUCACAUAGCUCUAUUAUUAGAUCUCUGAUCUUAAAUCUUCUCUCUAUCGUAGUAAUGGCUUCUUCUUCUUCUUUAUCGCUUUCAUUUCCUUCUUCUUCUUUGUCUCAAACCUGGGAACACGAUGUCUUUCCGAGCUUCCACGGGAAGGAUGUACGCAAAGCCUUUCUCAGCCACAUUCUCAAGGAGUUUGGAAGAAAAGCAAUCAACUUUUUUGUUGAUAACGAGAUCAAGAGAGGAGAAUUCAUCGGUCCUGAACUCAAACGGGCGAUCAAAGGAUCUAAGAUUGCUCUUGUCUUGCUCUCCAAGAAUUACGCUUCUUCGUCAUGGUGUCUUGACGAAUUGGCGGAGAUAAUGAAGCAAGAGUCUGGUCAAACGGUGAUUACCAUUUUCUAUGAAGUAGAUCCAACGGAUGUGAAGAAGCAGAAGGGAGACUUUGGGAAGGUCUUCAAAAAAACAUGUAAAGGUAAAGACAAGGAGAAGAUUAAGACUUGGAGGAAAGCUUUGGAGGAUGUGGCCACAAUCGCAGGUUACCAUUCAAGCAACUGGUUCGUGUUCUUGAUUUAACUUCACUUGCUUUUAAUAUUUCUAACUCAUCAAACUAUGUAGCAUACGAAACUGUAUGUAUACAAGAGAUUCAUAACUUUUGAACGUGUAUGUUAGUUCUUAGUGAUUAUUUAUUAACAAGAUGUAUGUAUGAAUUGUUCUUCGUCUUUGUUAGGGUUGAUGAAGCAGCCAUGAUUGAAAACAUCGCUGCUGAAAUUUCGAACAAGCUUAAUCAUUUGACACCAUUACGUGAUUUUGACUGUUUAAUUGGGAUGGAAGCUCAUAUGAAAAGGAUGGAACAGUAUUUACGUCUAGACUUGGAUGAAGUGAGGAUGAUUGGGAUUUGGGGUCCGCCUGGGAUUGGGAAGACCACAAUUGCCAGGUUUCUGUUUAACCAAGUUUCCAGCCGUUUCCAGAAUAGCGCACUCAUUGAGGAUAUCAAAGGAAGCUAUCCGAAACCUUGUUUUGAUGAGUACAACGCAAAGUUGCAACUACAAUAUAAAAUGUUGUCUCGGAUGAUCAACCAGAAAGAUAUCAUGAUCCCUCAUUUAGGAGUCGCACAAGAACGAUUGAGAAAUAGGAACGUGUUUCUCGUUCUUGAUGAUGUGGAUCGGUUAGCACAACUAGAAGCCUUGGCCAACAAUGUUCAGUGGUUUGGUCCUAGAAGUCGGAUUAUCAUCACAACAGAAGAUCGAAGUCUUUUGAACGCACAUGGGAUCAACCAUAUAUACAAGGUUGGUUUUCCAUCAAAUGAUGAGGCUCUUCAAAUGUUCUGCAUGUAUGCUUUUGGUCAAAAGUCCCCUAAAGACGGUUUUUAUGAACUUGCGCGUGAAAUUACAUACCUUGUCGGUGAACUUCCUUUAGGACUAAGGGUUAUUGGAUCCCACUUUCGUGGAUUGUCCAAGGAGCAGUGGUCAAUGGAAAUAUCAAGGUUAAGGACUAACCUUGAUGGAGAUAUUGAGAGCAUUUUGAAGUUCAGUUUUGAUGCUUUAUGUGAUGAAGAUAAAGAUUUAUUCCUUCAUAUAGCUUGCUUUUUCAACAACGAAAAUAUAAACAAAUUAGAAGAAUUUAUUGGCCAAAGAUUCAAGGAUUUGAGUCAAAGGCUUUACGUUUUAGUGGAGAAAUCUCUCAUAUCUAUUGAAAGAUUUCUUGAAUAUGUGAGUAUAAAAAUGCACAAUUUGCUGGCCCAACUAGGUAAAGAAAUCGUCCGUAAAGAAUCUCGUGAGCCUGGGCAACGCCGAUUUUUGUUUGAUAAUAAAGAUAUUUGUGAAGUAGUCUCUGGUUAUACAACUGUAAGUUUUUCCAUUAUUCUUUCAUUGCAGUGCUCACCAUAACUUGAGUUUAUUUUAUCAUCUCUACUUAUCUUUGGGUCUUUUUUCUCAGAAUACUGGAAGUGUUGUAGGCAUAGACUCCGAUUCUUGGUUAAAUAUAACUGAGAAAGCCUUUGAAGGAAUGCCUAAUCUCCAGUUCUUAAGAGUCGUCGUAUACAAUUUUGAUCAUCCAAACAUUAUAUCUUCUUCGGGACCUCUGACUUUUAUAUCUUCGAAGCUACGAUUAAUAGAGUGGUGGUAUUUUCCGAUGACAUCUUUGCGUUUUAUUAAUAAUCUGGAAUUCCUUGUCGAAUUAAAAAUGCGUUACAGCAAACUUGAGAAGCUGUGGGACGGAAUCAAAGUAAGUCAUUUAAAUUUUAGUUUUGUAUGUAGAAUAUCCUCUCUUGUACAUUAAAUUAACUUGAAAAAUUAUAUUUUACUUGCCACUUCGUUUCUAGCAUGAAAAUAUAUAUAUAUUUUAAAAUUUUAUGUGUUCCAAUUGCUAAGUGUAAUGUGUUCCAAUUUUAUGUGUUAAAUUUUUAUGUAUAAUUGUGUAUAUUUUGUCUCCAUCUUUCUUUACAGCUGCUUAAGAAUCUCAAGCGUAUGGAUUUGUCAUAUUCCAGAAACCUGAAGGAGCUUCCUAAUCUUUCAAUGGCCACUAGUCUUGAGAAGUUAAAACUUAGUGGAUGUUCAAGUCUGGUGGAGCUCCCUUCUUCUAUUGGGAAUUCAACUAAUCUCUCCACAUUCAAACUUGAUGGAUUUAGUCUAGUGGAGCUCCCUUCUUAUGUUGGUAAUUUAACUAAUCUCCAGGAAUUAUCACUUAGUGGAUGCUCAAGGCUUGUAUCACUCCCACAGCUUCCAGAUUCCUUAUUGCGCCUAAAUGCAAACAAUUGUGAGUCCCUAGAGAAACUAGACUGCUCCUUUUGCAAUCCAUAUAUUUGGCUUCACUUCGCUAACUGCUUCAAACUAAAUCAAGAAGCAAGAGAUCUCCUCACCGAGACAUCAAAUGUUAAAUUGUAAAGAAGUGCCUGCGUGCUUCACUUACAGAGGUUAUGGGAAUUCCGUAACAGUGAAGUUGAAUCAAAAGCCUCUUCCUACAUCAACCAAAUUUAAGGCUUGCAUCUUAUUUGGUAACAAUGGCGAAAAUGACGUUAGUUAUAUUUAUUGGGACACAACAUGUGUGUAUACGAAGAAGAAUAAGGGUUGCAUCUUGUUGGAUAAUAAGGGAGAACAUGAGGAACGAGGGUCGGUGUCUUGUCGCAUCAGACACAAACCGAAUGGUUUCUUAAAUUACUAUCCAGUUAUAACGGAGCAUCUAUACAUUUUCGAAGUUGAAGUAGAGGAGGUGACUUCCACAGAGCUUUUUUUUUAUUUCGAGAUCUUCAAAGAGGAUUCCAGGACUAUGGAGAUAAAAGAAUGUGGGAUAAUCCACAUCUUGGAACAUCAUGUUGAUGGCGACGAAAAGAUGGCGAUGAAGAUGGAGACAAUGUAGAUCUGAGACAAACAUUGAAACUCAAGUCAAACAGAGAAGCCACAAGACAAAAUUGCAAGGACGAAUGGUAAGUUUGCAUUUUCACAACUCAAGAACUUACUUUGUUGAUAAACUUUGCAUAACAACUGUUCAAUGAAAU
rnacentral:lncRNA from 1 species